rnacentral:rRNA from 1 species
AACGAACGCUGGCGGCAUGCCUAACACAUGCAAGUCGAACGAGACCUUCGGGUCUAGUUGCGCACGGGUGCGUAACGCGUGGGAACCUGCCCUUAGGUUCGGAAUAACUCCCCGAAAGGGGUGCUAAUACCGGAUAAUGUCUUCGGACCAAAGAUUUAUCGCCUUUGGAUGGGCCCGCGUUGGAUUAGCUAGUUGGUAGGGUAAAAGCCUACCAAGGCGACGAUCCAUAGCUGGUCUGAGAGGAUGAUCAGCCACACUGGGACUGAGACACGGACCAGACUCCUACGGGAGGCAGCAGUGGGGAAUAUUGGACAAGGGGCGAAAGCCUGAUCAAGCAAUGCCGCGUGAGUGAUGCAGGCCUUAGGGUUGUAAAGCUCUUUUACCCGGGAUGAUAAUGACAGUAACGGGAGAAUAAGCUCCGGCUAACUCCGUG